rnacentral:rRNA from 1 species
CAUGCUACGGUGAAUACGUUCCCGGGUCUUGUACUCACCGCCCGUCACACCAUGGGAGUUGAUUUCACUCGAAGCCGGAAUACUAAACUAGUUACCGUCCACAGUGGAAUCAGCGACUGGGGUGAAGUCGUAACAAGGUAACCGUAGGAGAACCUGCGGUUGGAUCACCUCCUUUCUAG